GCCUGCCUGUUUGCUUGCCAGUCUACCUCCUUGUCUGCCUUCCUGUCUGUCUGCCUGCCUGCCUGCCUGUCAACUGACUGACGUACUUACUUACUUACUUACUUACUUACUUACUUACUUACUUACAUUUCCUUACUUACUUUUUUACUACUGACUUACAAUUCCUUACUUACUUUUUUACUACUGACUUAAAAUUACUUACAUAAUUUAACUUACUUACUUACCUUUAUACAUGUACCAACUUACUUAAAUAAUGUACAUACCUACUU
rnacentral:lncRNA from 1 species